rnacentral:lncRNA from 1 species
GUGGCUAAAAAACCUUAUGAAAGGAUAUGAAUAUUAAUUUAGAAAUAACAGUUUUUUUUUUUUUUAUCAAAACACUAAAAUAUAAAAGACAGGAGAUGUCUGAACUAAUACAACAGAAUGACAAAGGAGAACCUAUGAAACGAAAACUAGAAAGCUUAUGACCAUUAUUGACCAUACCAACUGCUACAAGACUACUAUCCCAAAGUUUGUUUAAAAUGAUUGAUAUUUCUAGUUAUUUUAUUGCAACAACAAAAAACACAUUAUUCUAAGGCUGCCAAGUCAAUUUUGGAGGUGCCCUUUUGAGCACGGGUCCUUAUUUCAGCUGAGUUAAAUCAAGCAGACUUCACUUUUCUCACAGGCUUCUUCUAAUUUUUCUCUGCCUUAAUGCUCUCAUAUAGGCUUGGAUAGUGCUGCUCAAAGUAUGAUACAAUGGGUUCAACAUGGUCCUCUUCCACUGUGACGGCAUAGCCGUAGGAGUGAGCACCAUAGUGUUAGCCCACUUUUGAAAAACCUUUGGAUCCACAUUCUUGUUAGAAGACAUCAAUGCAUCUGAGAUGUGAUCAUAAUCCUCUUCUACCUCAUCCCCCAAAAUUUGGAAAGAAUCUGCACACUCUUUAGGGUUGUAGUGUAACGCCCUAUUUUAUUAUUUAUUUAUUUUAUUAAGUUUAGAGUCUUUUUUUAUAAUUUAAUCAAUUUAUUUUGAUAAGUGAUAUUUUUGUUGUGUAUGAUAUUUAUUAGUAGCCCCUAUUUUAUUAUUUAGUGGAGAAAUAUAAUUUAAAUAGAUUAAUGAGGCAUAAGGACAUAAUUGGAAUAAGGGAGAAUGUGUUAGGAGAGAUUAAGUGAGAAACAAACACAGUUAGUGAUUAUAAAUAUAUGAGACCAUUAGAGAAUUAGGGUUACAACAGAAUAGAGAGUCAGAAUACAGAAUACGUAGAAACUGCUUUUGGGAGAAAAAGGGAGAAAGUGAGAAGUUAGAUAAGAGAAGAGGAGAAAACUUGUAAAGUCCAAAUUCAAUCUAAGGUAAGGGUGGGACUAACCUUCUUUAAUCAUAAGUAUAUAGUUCUGAAAAAGGGUUUAAGCUUGUAGUUGUUAAUAGUUUUGAUGUUAUAGAAAUUAGGUUUUGAUUUGGAAUUGAUUGUUAAAAAAGUAGAUAAUUCAAUAAAUUAGUGUACAAAUUCAUGUUUUGGUCCAAGUUUUAUAUGGUUUUGAGUGCCUUUUCAUGUUUAGAAAUGUUUAGACGAGUUUCGGGAUCAAAUUUGGGCAUAGGGAAGUUAAAAAUGGGAUUUUUUGGUGAAAAAUGUCAAGUUCCCGAGAGAUAUCAGAUUGAGCUCGCCAUGGCGGAUGACCUAUUCGCCUGGCGAAAUGUUCAGUGACAGACUGCCUUGUUUCACGUUCUUGCGUCUGUUUCACACGUUUCUGUUUUGAGUUGGUCUUCGGUGUAAACAUGAAAGUUGUUGAUAAUUGUGUUAUCUUUCCAGUAUUCUUGAUUUGAUGUGAAUAUCUUUGUUGGAUGAUUUAAUAUUUAUUAUAUGUAUAUGUUGAUGAAUUUGAUGUUAUAUGAUGUUGUUCAUGAUUGAUGAAUUAUUAUAUGAAUGUAUAAGUUGAUGAAUAUGAUGUCAUUCAAGAUUGAUGAACUAUUAUAUGAAUGUAUAUGUUGAUGAAUAUGAUUUUAUAUGAUGUUGUUCAUGAUUGGUGAAUUAUUAUAUGAAUGUAUAUGUUGAUGAAUAUGAUGUUAUAUGAUGUUGUUCAUGAUUGCUAAAUUAUGAAGUCAUAAUGCGAAGUCGUUGUUGUUGUUGUUGUUGUUGCAUUGGUAGUGUCAAUGCAUAAUCAUUUUAAACGAAGAGGGCUUGAUGCUCUGUUAAUUUUAAGCGAAGAGGGCUUGAUGCUCUGUUAUUUAAUCGAAGGGAACUUGAUGCUCUGUUGUAGGGAGCUUGAUGCUCUGAUGGUACGACAUGCAUAUUAGCAUCUCUUGAGUUGUUAUUGUUGCAUUGUUGAGUUGUUGUUGUUGCAUUGCGGAGUUGUUGUUGUUGUUGUCACAUUGUUGUUGUUGUUAUUAUUGCAUUGUUAAAAUGAAGAUAAUUGAUGAAUUGUUGAUUGGAAUUAUGUGAAGCAUUGUUGAUGAUGAUUUGCUGUUGUUUUGUGUUGAUAAAUUCUUUUACAUUAUUGUUUAUUAGUGUUGUUAAUGAUGAAUUGAGGUUGUUAUGUGUUGUUAAAUUCUUUUAUAGAAUUAUAUGCUUAUUAUUAUUGAAUUUGAAAUUUCACUCAUUCUGUUUGAAUGUUGCCUCUACGUGGGUAAUGUGCAGAUAACCAGGAGUAAUCGCUGAUGUGAGUUGAUUCUCGUGUCGUCCUAGGAGUCGCUCUGAUACGUACGGGAUGGGGAUUAGCUUUAUUUAUUUUCCAUUAUUAUGUAUUCUUUUUAUGAAUUUAUUGUUGAACAUUUUUUAGAUGAAAUUAAUUAUAUUGAUGAUGUUGAUGUUAGUUUGUUUUUAAUUCAAGUUUAGUUUUAGUGAUAAUCACAAUCAGUGGUUAAUCACAGUUUGUUUUAGUUUGUUAUGAAGUUUGUUACAAGUUUGUUAGAGGUUAGCAGAUAAGAUCUAGAGUUUGUUACAUUGCUUGUGCUUCAAGCAACUUAGCUAGAUAUUGUAUAUAAGCUACCUCCUUUGUACAUUUUUGUAUAUAGAAUCAAUAAAGAUCAUUUACAAUUUCAUCAUAACUUUCUUCUCUCUCAAUUCUCUCUCUAAUUCACAUAAAACCUUAGAAUCAGAAACUGCUUCUGAACUGCUUCUGAACAGUGCUUCUGAACAGAGCUUCUGAACAAGCUUCCGCUUCUGGUUUUUCUGCGCUAUCAAAUUGGCAUCAAGAGCCUUUGGUUUCGUUCUAAGGGGUAAUCAAGAUCUUCAAUCACGCAAUUUAUAGAAAGAAACGCUGAAGGAAACACCAUGAAUGGUAGCAGCAGUUUCAACACACAUCUUCCAAUUCUUGAAGCACGUAAUUGGGAAAGAUGGAGUGCAGCGAUGAAGAAUCUGUUUGGAGCACAAGAUUUGCUUGAAAUUGUGCAGAAUGGUGUAGAUGAAUUAGCUGCGAAUGCCACUGAAGUGCAAAGGAACGCACACAAGGAAUUGAAGAAGAAAGAUUGCAAGGCUCUGUUCUUGAUUCAACAAAGUCUUGAUGAAGGAAACUUUGAAAGAAUCUCAAAAUCACUGAGUUCAAAGGAAGCAUGGGACAUUCUUUCAAAGUAUCAUGAAGGUGAUGAUAAAGUGAAGUUGAUUAAGCUUCAAUCUCUGAGAAGGAAAUUUGAGCUGAUGCAAAUGGAAGAUGAUCAGAAGAUUUCUAAGUACAUCUCUAAACUCAUCAAUCUUGUGAAUCAGAUGAAGGCUUGUAGUGAAGCUAUCACUGAUCAACAGAUAGUUGAAAAGAUUAUGAGGAUCCUAUCUUCAAGGUUUGAUUUCAUUGUGGUGGCAAUUCAGGAAUCAAAAGAUGUUAAGACAUUGAAGAUUGAGGAGCUACAGAGUUCAUUAGAAGCUCAUGAAUUGAUGGUUUCAGAAAGAAGCAAUGAAAGAUCAAUUCAACAAGCCCUGCAAGUUCAAACUAUCAAGAAGGAUGAUUAUGAUAAGAAGAACUUCAAGAAAGGGAAACUCUAAGGGAGGAAACUGGUCUAAAGGCAAGAACAAUGGAUCUGAUAAAGGUGAAUCUUCAAAGGAAGGAAAUUCUAAUCAAAAGAAGAAAGUUGAUAAGAAGAAGAUUCAGUGUUUCAAAUGUGAGAAAUUUGGACACUAUGCCUCUGAAUGUUGGUCUGGUAAAGGAAAGCAAUCAAAAAAUGAUGAAGAGGAAGCCAAAAUUGCACAAGAUGAUUUAGAUUCUGAAUCAUUAUUCAUGAUGGUUACAACAACUAGUAAUGAGAGCUGCAAUUCAGAAAGUUGGUUCUUAGAUACUGGUUGUUCUAAUCACAUGACAGGAAACAAGACAUGGUUAAGAGAAGUGGAUCCUGGAAGAAAUACAAAGGUGAAACUUGCAGAUCAUAGAGUCUUAAUUGCAGAAGGAAUGGGGAAUAUUGCUAUUGAAGGAAAGAAUGGGAAAGUGGCAAUAAUUGAAGAAGUUCUCUAUGUUCCUGGAAUGCAGUGCAAUUUGCUGAGUGUAGGUCAGUUCAUUCAGAAAGGAUACUCAGUUACUAUGAAGGACAACACCUUUAAGUUGUUUGAUAAUCAUCAAAGGUUAGUUUUGAAAACUCCUCUUGCAAAGAAUAGAACUUUUCAGACCAAUAUGAAAGCUGUAGAAUUGAACUGUUUAUCUGCUAUGGUAAAAGAUGAAGAUAGCUGGUUAUGGCACUAUAGAUUUGGUCAUCUCAAUUUUAGAGGUCUUAAUCAAUUGGUUGAUAAAGAAAUGAUUCUGGGAGUGCCUAAAACCAGGAAUUUGAAAACCCACUUCACAUCUACACCAUACUCAGAAUCUGUAUGGAUUGAAACAGGCACCAAGAGCUUGGAACAAGAGAAUUGACAGAUUUCUUGUACAGCAAGAAUUUGUCAAAUGCAAGUCUGAGUAUGGUGUAUAUGUGAAGAAAGGAAGUGAAGGUAAUCAACUACUCAUCUGCCUUUAUGUUGAUGAUCUGAUAGUGACUGGUAGUGAUAUGAAUGAGAUAGAAGCAUUCAAAUCACAAAUGAUGAGUGAGUUUGAAAUGUCAGAUUUAGGAAAAUUGACAUACUUUCUAGGCAUGGAAUUUACUGAAGUUGCAGAGGGAUUGAUAAUGCACCAAAAGAAGUAUGCAUCUGAUAUAUUGAAGAGGUUCAAUAUGAUGAGCUGCAAUCCAUCAUCAUCACCAGCUGAGACAAAUGUAAAACUGGUAAUGAAUGAAGAUGAAGAACCUGUGAAUCCUACAUUGUUCAAGCAAAUUGUUGGUUCACUGAGGUAUCUAUGCAAUAGUAGGCCUGAUAUUGCAUAUGCAGUUGGCAUAAUCAGUAGAUUCAUGAGUGAACCAAGAGUCUCUCACCUGCUAGCAGCCAAAAGAGUGAUGAGAUACAUCAAAGGAACACUGCAGUAUGGUAUUCUAUUUCCUAAAUGUUUGAAUGAUAGUUCUAUGGAACUGAUGGCAUAUUCUGAUGCUGAUUGGUGUGGAGACAGACAAGAUAGAAAGAGUACUUCAGGGUACCUAUUCAAGUUUAUGAAUGCUCCAAUUUCAUGGUGUGCUAAGAAGCAACCAGUUGUAGCAUUGUCAACCUGUGAAUCUGAAUAUAUUGCAGGGUGUAUGGCAGCAUGUUAGGCAAUAUGGCUUGAAAAUAUACUCAAAGAGAUGGAGAUAGAGGUUAGCAGACCUAUAGAAUUGCUCAUAGACAACAAAUCUGCUAUAAGCUUAGCAAGAAAUCCAGUUCUGCAUGGAAGAAGCAAGCAUAUAGAAGCAAAGUUUCAUUUUCUAAGGGAGCAAGUGAACAAGGGAGCACUGCAGAUUGUUCAUUGCUCUACUGAGCUGCAGCUUGCAGACAUAUUCACUAAGGCAUUGAAGGUUGACAGAUUCAACAAGCUCAGAAGCUUUAUUGGAAUGAAGGAAGUGGAAACUUGAAUUAAGGGAGGAUGUUAGUUUGUUUUUAAUUCAAGUUUAGUUUUAGUGAUAAUCACAAUCAGUGGUUAAUCACAGUUUGUUUUAGUUUGUUAUGAAGUUUGUUACAAGUUUGUUAGAGGUUAGCAGAUAAGAUCUAGAGUUUGUUACAUUGCUUGUGCUUCAAGCAACUUAGCUAGAUAUUGUAUAUAAGCUACCUCCUUUGUACAUUUUUGUAUAUAGAAUCAAUAAAGAUCAUUUACAAUUUCAUCAUAACUUUCUUCUCUCUCAAUUCUCUCUCUAAUUCACAUAAAACCUUAGAAUCAGAAACUGCUUCUGAACUGCUUCUGAACAGUGCUUCUGAACAGAGCUUCUGAACAAGCUUCCGCUUCUGGUUUUUCUGCGCUAUCAGUUGAGGCCUUUAGUGCCAAUUUUGUUGAAAGAAUAAGUAUUUUCCGUUGCGACGUUGUUGAAAAUUAUUGGAAGCAGAUGAUUUUAAUAAAGAGUGGAUUUUAACUCUAUUUGUGUUAAAUAUUAUUUUGAAGAAAGAAAUGUGAUAUUCUGUUUGUGAUGAACUCUGAUCUAUUUUAUAUUAUUUAUAUGUUGGGAAAAUGGGGUGUUACAUGUAGCAGAGAGGGGUUUGGAAGCAUGAAUCAGGGUUUGGCUUGAACGGAGUUUGUCACUUGUCAAACUAGCAAACAUGGUGGUUUGCAGGUUGUGUCAUAGGAGUGAUAUAAGGGUCCCUAGAUUUGUCUCAUGAAACAUAAGUGAUCUUGGGGAAUGACCGCCUCCCAGGUAUGCCACCCUAACCAAGUGAAGUUGAAGCUGAAUUGGGGAAUGACAUCAUCCCAAUGUCAGAAGACUUCGUAAGAUCUGAGGUAUCAUGAGACACAAGUUUGAUGGGGAUUAUUUCCUUAGAAACAAUGUCCUUUAACCUAGUGUUAUGAAUCAAAGAAACUUCUUCACCAUAAUGAGCAUUGAGUGGCUCAAUAUCAGCUAAAAGCUUGUUAAAAGAGCCAUCAAUAUCUUUCAUAUCAACCAAAGCCUCUCCUUGCACCCUGUCAGGUUCAGAAUUCAAAAUGGUGAAAUAAUUGUGCAGGACAAGAUCUUGGUCUUCCAAG